CCUACGGGGAGCAGCAGUGAGGAAUAUUGGUCAAUGGACGAGAGUCUGAACCAGCCAAGUAGCGUGAAGGAUGACUGCCCUAUGGGUUGUAAACUUCUUUUAUAUGGGAAUAAAAUGUUCCACGUGUGGGAUUUUGUAUGUACCAUAUGAAUAAGGAUCGGCUAACUCCGUGCCAGCAGCCGCGGUAAUACGGAGGAUCCGAGCGUUAUCCGGAUUUAUUGGGUUUAAAGGGAGCGUAGGUGGAUUGUUAAGUCAGUUGUGAAAGUUUGCGGCUCAACCGUAAAAUUGCAGUUGAAACUGGCAGUCUUGAGUACAGUAGAGGUGGGCGGAAGUCGUGGUGUAGCGGUGAAAUGCUUAGAUAUCACGAAGAACUCCGAUUGCGAAGGCAGUUCACUGGACUGCAACUGACACUGAGGCUCGAAAGUGUGGGUAUCAAACAGGAGUAGAUACCCUAGUAGUC
rnacentral:rRNA from 1 species